rnacentral:rRNA from 1 species
GCGUAGGAAUCUACCUAGUAGUGGGGGACAACAUGGUGAAAACCAUGCUAAUACCGCAUACGCCCCAUGGGGGAAAGGCCGGGAUCUUCGGACCGGUCGCUAUUAGAUGAGCCUGCGUAGGAUUAGCUAGUUGGUGGGGUAAAGGCCUACCAAGGCGACGAUCCUUAGCUGGUCUGAGAGGAUGAUCAGCCUCACUGGGACUGAGACACGGCCCAGACUCCUACGGGAGGCAGCAGUGGGGAAUAUUGCGCAAUGGGCGAAAGCCUGACGCAGCCACGCCGCGUGUGUGAAGAAGGCCCU